AUUAUGUAAAAGUGCAAAUUUCCAAUGAUGAAAGUCAUUAUAUUAUAUAUCUAAAAUGUACCAAUAAAAGGAUUAAAAAAAAAAAGACGUGAGAGCCUGAAACCACCAGCAGCAAUACCAUGCCUCCUCUACUCUCUGAUAUUGGUGAAGCUUAAACCAGCUAGAGAUUGUGCCCUAGAAGUUUAAGUGAAUUUUCAAUUGAAUUUUACAGAGCAAGGGAUAAUGCACAUACAUCUCUUGCACUCUUUUGACCCUUGGUUAAGGCUCUGGCUAUAGGUUACUCAGACUUUAGUCUUGAGAAAUUGAUCAAAAUCCACAUCUCAAAGCACCUCCCUUAUGAGCUCUCAUGUUCCAGGCCAGCCUGUACUUAACAUAAUCAAGUCAGGUCCAGGAUCAGACAACUAGACAGCUCCUAUGUUCUGGAGCCCACAAAAUUACUCAAAUGAACCAACUCACAGAGACCCCAGGAAUCCUAGCUUAAAUCUACCCUACUUAUCACGUAGAGGCAACCUCGAGCAACUUCAACUUGUCAUCAUCCUAUCUUCCAAUGCAACCCUAGAUAUGUGGAACUUACUUCAAAACUAAAGUAUACAUAUACAUUUCCAACCAUAUGGAAGACAUUAUCAAUAUGGUGACAAUAAAUAGCACAUUUUUCAGGUGACUGCAUUAGAUCAAGAUGAAAGAAUUGUUGGAAAUGUAGAUUCUGUUGUUCCCUUCUAGACCAACUGAAUCAGAAUUUCCAGAGGUUAUUAAAUGGGAAGGUGUGUUUUCAGGUGAUUCCAAUGUACAAACUGCUAUAUAUAAAUCUUAGAUCUACUAGUUAUUAUUGUGAUACAUAGAGAGUUAUUUAACUUUCUUUGAGAUUCAAUGUUCCUGUUUGUAAAAUGAGAAUAGCUUGCCAGAUCAGUGUGACAAAAUUAGUCUAAAAACUUGCCUGAAAAAUAGUAGCUAUUAUUAUCUUAAGAGAGGAAACUAUAUACUAGAAAAAUAUGUGUAAGAAAGGUCAAAUUUAGCAGGUAUUUAGAGUUCAAAAUUUGAAGAGAGAAAGAAGUAAACCCUUCAAUUAUUAAAAAUUUAUUGUAGUACAGAUAUAUUUAACCAACACUGUCCUCUAAAAAUAGUAGAUAUUAUAAUAUUCAAUUUAUAAAUUUAGUUUAUGUGUAAGAUACUUCUAUGACAUGAACAUUCAUUCAUUCAACAAAUACUCAUGCAAGAUCUACCUAAAUCAUUUAUUUCAGUUGCUCCACAGGCAGCCUGGAUAAUUUCCUACUCUGGGUUGUUUUUCAGUGACUGUGUAGGAGUUGGUAUUUAUCAAGAUGGUUUUGAUACAUUCAUAACAAAUCUCUCUUUCAUGUGUUCUUACAAAUUUUCCUUUGAAGUCUUUGUUCCUUCAAAAAACUCAUCACACAAUUAAGGAGUGCCAAGUUUCAAAGAUGAAGUAAUUGUAAUGCAAGUUUUAGAUGACAUUUUUCCACUUGGAAGCGACGAGAGCAAUUGGGAUAGACAUUACCAAAAGGAAAGUGGUAAUUUUACUCUCCAAGUCGAGCUUCCUCUCUGGGAAGUGUAACGAAGAACUGGGUUCCUUGCGCAUCCAGCCGCAGAGGUACUGCAAAGUCGCUCAGCACUGAACAGGAGAUUCUGGACGUUGUUCUUUAGACCCCUGUAAUAAAAAUUAUUUAUUCAGCACAUCAAUAAAUGUGAGGAAAUGAACUUGGGUCCUUGCGCUUGCACAGCAGGUGGCGAAACCACUGAGCCAAAUCCCAGGCCCGAGACAGGAUGAUUUUAUACUGCUCUCUGUGACAGUGGAAGGGACGUCAGCCAGGAAUCCAGCUGGCCUAGAAGCUGGAGAAGGAAAAGCUGGAAAAGACCAUUCUAUGGAGACCCCCAGAAGGAAUCCAGACCUGCUGACAUGUUGAAUUCAGCUUUGAAAAACCAUUUAGUUUUCUCGAGCUUAAAAUUUGUAAAAUAAUACAUUUGUAUUGUUUUAUGCCACUCUGUAUAUGGGAGUUUGUUACAGACUCAAUAAGAAAAGAAUAUGGUGUUAUAUUGAAUCAUCACUUCCCAACUCUUAUCAACUUGUUUAUUUUAGCCUACAAAGAUCCAUUUUAGACUUCUCACCCCAGUAUGAAAGAUGAUAAAUCUGUUUUAUUCUGUUAAAUUUGUAGUAAAAUGUUACAGUAAAAUUGGGGAAUUAAAUUAGAUUUUUAGUUAUCUACCCUUAGUUAUGCAGGAAAUUGGUCUUAUGGCUCUGCCAGGAAGUUCCCUCCUCAGUCAAUGCGGUUAACAAAGGGACUCAAUGAGACUGGCAUUGGCCAGUGAUAGUUCAUUCUUCCUGAGGCCUCCAUCUCUGCCAUUAUGGUCACUUUGUUCACAUGCCCAGUAUCCUUACUCUGGCUGGAUAACACAUAGGGCAUGUCAUUUUGUCUAUUUGGCUCUUCAACUUAGUAUCAAAAGACAAUUAUAACAAAUAAAUUAUAGAUUUAACUGGCUUUUAUUCAUAAUUCAUGAAUUGGCCCUGUCUCCAUUCUUGAGAGUUCCCACUGGACGCUAGCAGCAAGGUUUUGUAAGGUUUGAAUAAGGAAAACAAAUAAUAGAUUGAAAACCUGAUUGAUUAACAAUAGGUUACUUCAGUUUACUCUUUGUUGGUAAGGAAUAAAGCAGGAUAAUUUUCUUAUUACUCUAACUCAAGAGGGAUGGAAUCUCUUAUUUAUAGCAAAAUUAAUCUAUGUGGAGAAUUAUCUGAUACCUUGAAACUUCAGUUUGAUUAUUACCUUCUUGCAUGAGUUAUAUCAUUUUGGUUUGAUGUGGUUGUUGGAGCCUAGUUCAGGAGCUUAGUUCAUGUGGGUCUCCCCUAAUUCUUGGUUAGCAGAGCAAUGCAUUCUGGUGGGUGUUAAUACGUGAUGCUAUGUGCCCACUACCAUCCACCUACCCUUACAUCUCUACUCUAGACCUCCAGUCUCCUCUUCAUUUUUUUUUCUUCGUAGGAUUCUGAUCAUCUAGCUAUGUCAUUCUUUGUUGCCUGUAGGUCUUAUCUCAUAGAAUCUCUUUCUUCUACAUAGAGUGCCUGAUCAUAUAUCCCUUGCAAGCUCACUGCUGAUUGUGGCUGAAAAGCAGCUACUGUCUAUUUUUGGCUUGUACCGAAACACUGAGCAGGAGUUAUAAACCCUGGUCAAGUUCUUUACUUUUCCUUUAGCUGAUCAUCCAGGCCUCCUCCCUCUGAACACAGACACGACCUGAGGGCCACUUGUGAAACUGUGGUAGAUAACACCCAGGUCUGGGCUACCUAUACAUGCAGCUCUGCUCCUGCUCAGGCCUGACCUCAUAUGUAUCAUUUACACUGUACAUAGGAUACGGUUUGACCUGCCUCAAUUUCUGACUAAGUCCAACAGAACCCAAGUCAAGAUAUGAAAUUCAGGAUCCAUAGCCACUUAGUGUCCUGUGCACAGAGUGCUAAUUUUAAUAGGGAGGAGUAUGGCCUUGGGAAUGGGCAUCUAUUCAGAUGUAGUCAUGACAUGUUCCAGAGUCCUAGGUUUUUCCAUUUGUGGCCUUGACUGGGUUUUCUGCAGCUUGGAAAUUCAAACUUUUACAUUCUGAGUUUUAUCUUCACCAUUUUAUUUUCUUUAACUAUAAGGCAUAAAGCCUCUUUUCAAGCUGCCAAAAUGGCUCUCUGCUCAUCACACUUUAAAUUUUUUAUUCAGCUCACUGCUUUUCAUUAUUCUUAUGUAGGACAUCAAUGUGAUUUAGUAACACUCAGCCAGUUCUAUUCCUUUACAUGCAUUGCUCCCUUCCACACACACAAACCACCCCUUACUUUCACUUGAAGCAUUACACAGGUCAGUGUACUUCCUUCUGCCAGAGCAUUCUUUCAAAUUACCACCAGCAAAAGAUUAAGGCAGACUACACAGAGUACCAGAGAGGAUUGUGCUCCAUGCAUUACCUAGGAUCAAUCACUCGGCACCAAGUAAUCAGUGAAUGAUCCAAUCCCUUAACACUAUCUCUUCAUUUGGUUUCAUGCACAACUUCUUAUAGCAGGGCAUGAGAUCUAUGCAACCAUAUAGAGCCUACGCUUAGAAGAGUCCUAUGCUUGCUUUAAUGCUCUGCUGCUCUUGUCAGUGGAAAUUCUUAAUAACUUUUAAAUAAGGUUAUUUACAUUUUCAUUUUACACCAGGCUUCAUGAAUUAUGUAGCACUUUGUGACUAGUGUCAAAUUUGUUCUGUUUGCUUGUUAGUUUUGUUCUUGAGACAAGGUCUCACUUUGUAGUGCAGACUGGACUUGAACUCACUAUGUAGUCCAAGCUGGCUUUGAACUUGCAACAAUCCUCCUGCCUCCACCUCCUCAGUAUUGGAAUUGCAGGUUUGCACUACCACACCUGGCACUAGUAUCAGAUUUGUUAACUGGAUCCUCUCUGAAUCAGAUGCUCAGAUUAUUAGGAGUACAAGACCUUUAAAAGGGAAGAACCAAAGAAGGAAGAAGUAUAAGGAAAUUCUAUACUACCUUCUCAAAUAUUUGUAAUUUUAAAACUGUCUAAAAUUAAGAUCUAUUUUAAGCAGCAGAUAUGUGACAUUCAAAAGAAAUUUUGGUCAAAAUAAUGAUUAAAUUGAAAUAUAUUAAAAUACCCAAUCGAAUGCCUGGCAUAAAAAACAAGCUCAAUAAUGGUAUUUCCUUUUUUAAAAGAAAGCUAACAAUCUUUUAUUAAAACUGGUAUGAAUUUUAGUCUGAUGUUAUUACUUAAUACAUUUAAACAAACAUGAUCCAAACACACAGUGAGAUACAUCUUUAACUCAAGCCCCAUGUUUAAGACAGAAGCCUUUAAGAAAGAAAAAUAGCUACUUUUGUGUAUCACAAGAUAAAAACUGGAAUAGUAAAUUUAUAGAGCUGAGAUUUUCCUCCAUAUCCUGUGUUGUAUAAUUAACUCUUUAGUCUCAGAACCAAACAUAAUGUCUAUCAACACCUUCCAUCACUCCAAUCUGUACUAGGUAUCAUAUUUUUGUUUUUGUUUUUGCUUUGUUUUCUGAGGCAGAGUCUCACUGUAUAGUCCAAGC
ensembl:lncRNA